rnacentral:lncRNA from 1 species
CGCUAUAACCUACGUGAACUGAAAUUUCGAGUAUUCGUGAAAGCUAGCGUGCAAGCAACACCAUCGUUUGCUCUCUGCCACUGUACAGUGUCAGGUAGUAGUCAAAUUAACUAGUACAACCUUAUGUACCACUUCAAUAAUGCAACUCCAUCAUAUAUAUCAGUGCAAUUUGUUGGCACAAUCCGAAUUAAUCUCCAUCAUCGCUCCAUCCACAUCAGGUCGACGGACAAUUGGUCCUUGUCUACUGGAGUAGUAGUCCCGCACAUGGAUAGAUGUUGGUGCCCCCCUCAAUUGCAGAAUGAAGCAUGUGAUAUCCUAGUCCGGUGGAGCGUGAUAUUCUGGUACAAAUUUUAAUAAAAUUAAUAGAGUACUAAUAUAAAUAAGGUGUAUCUUUUUUUCAGAAACCUGUAAUGAAAGAACGUCGAGAUUAAAUAUAUUUGACAUAGAGCAAUUUUAGAAUAGGUGACCAACCGAAAAGUUUUUCUGGAUGCAUAGGUUGAUAUGUGAAAGUGAUAUAUGAUUCUGAAGGCCUGGCAGAUGUAAGCAAGAGUGCCGGUCUAGGAGGGUUGGGGUGUUACACCGAAGAACAUCUGUUAAAAUAUUUUUAUAUCGUUUGCGCGUCAAGCGGCCGGUCUCCGUCUAGAUUUUGGACGUACGUACGCGUCCCUUGACUUCACACUAGCCAGUAGCAGCUAGGGCAGGAUAUUGACCGGCGAUCGAAUCAUGCAUGCGAAUAAUUAACUACUGUGCUUGCUUGCUGGAUCAUUAGAUAUGUUGAGUUUGUUUCCAUACGCCGUACCACCAAGAUGGCUUUAGUUUACUGAUUUGCAGCCACACCGCACCCCGAGACCCGAGUACACCAGGCUAGGCUAGGCUAGGGUUCAUCUUUCAUAUAUAUAUAUACUGCCAAGAAACUGGCACUGUAGUAUCCUUUUGCAGCUGCUACUUGCUGCUAGCUACCUAGUACGAAAUUAGGAGGCUAGUCUACAAUUAGUAACCACAAAAUAUCCAUCAUCAAGUAUUCAUCAGAUCAAAGUAUAAAAUCAGACUGACAUCAGGAGAGCGUGAGUUCCUCACACACCACAGGCACUAGCAGAUGCAUGUGCAUAUAUAAAGGCAUGCAUGGACACAAGCUAAUUAGCUGAAUCCACAAUAUAUAGAGUUGAUAACCAAGUUGGAAUUUUUUUUAUAAAAAGGAUAAUUAUACUGAUACAGCUGCAGACUGCAGCGUCGUUAACCGAUCAAAUGGCCAGAAAAUUAUUAUCACAAGACGUACGUCCAUUCGUUGUGUCGGGCUGAGGCUAAAGCCAAGCAAAUACUGACAAGCGACGUUUCCUCUGAUUGCCCGUUGCCAUUGUGAACACUCAACAUGAGCGCGCUCAUCAAAGGUGAACAGUGAACACGACAUGAUGCCCAGAAAAAGGCUAGCUAGUUGGACGUAUAUAUAUGCUUAUAGAUAUAUACUAUUAGGUCACGGAAACACGAUAAGUUGAUGUCACUUGCCCGUCAUUAUGAUCUCAAUAAUUAUCUGCACAAGUAACUCAUAAAUAUGAAAAUGCUGCUUCAUGAUGUAAGAUAACAGAUUACUAUAUAUAUCGUUGUUGUUUAUCCUCCUGUGUGUGUGACACUGUGUGCACGCGCACGCGCGCGUGCAUGCAUGUAUCUUAGUUUUUGUUUCUAGUGUCAUGCAUGAACUCACAUGGUCAUGCAUGCUAGUAGCAAACUAACAAAUGAAACUGAGACCACCAGCUUCCCCGACAAGUUGUUGUUAUGACCACACGCACACUAUCAAGUAUCAUCAACAAGGUUAGCAGCAGGUAGCAUAUGCACUAAAGUUUACAGCAAGCAGGCCAGAGGUCUGGACCUCAAAAGUCUUCUUAUAUGUAUAUGCAGUUGAUACCAUGCAUUUGGCUUUCACCCAAAGGAUUCGCACAAGCCACACUGGCAGUUUUCCUUGAAAGAAAUGGCAGUUCUAUUUACGUAUCUACUGAUGACAAAAGCACAGAUCUAGCUAGCUAGCUUUGAUGGAUUUUAUUAGCGUAUGAAUGAUGACUGAACCCACAUAUACAAACGUAUAAAUAAACAUUAAUUGUAGAAGAGAACCUGACAUCACUUGCUGGUCAACUAGCUACGCCCCCCCCCCCCCUCUCAAAUAAUAUAAUGUAGUGUAAGUAUAAUAUAGUAAUGUAUAGGGCCAGCAAAUUCAUUCUCGGCCGAACACGCAUAUGGUGCGCGUACACAUGUAACGCGGUUUCAUACUACGACGCUUUUACGCACACACUGUGCAUGCAUGCUGAUGGGUUCAUACUAACCACACGCAUGCGCGCGCGCGGCGCGCCCACUGUCUGCAAGAGACGCCAUGAUGCAUUCCACGACACGCGGUUCACACAUCAUUAGGGAGGAGAUGAUCAUGUAAUUGACACUAGUUAUUAUCGUUUCAAACACAAGCAAGCACACCUCAUAGAGAUUAGAGACUAGAUGCUGAUUAGCUAGUUGCUACUUUGGUUGGUCGUGUGUAUAUAUGCAGCAGUAGUGGCUUCUACUGGACACCUCUGACUUUUUUUCCCCUAAGGUAGAAGAGUAUGCAUAUGCAACGGGAAGGCCGCAGGGGCAUCGAUACCCUUCCCUCGAUCCUUCCUGUAUGAUAAGCUAGCGCAAAGCAAAGCAAAGCAGGCUCCUGCACCCUCUACCAGCAACCAUGUGCUUCUAGCUAGUAUCCACCAUGCAUCCUCUCUCUCUCCCUUUCUUGAUCAUCUAUCCUAGCCGGCCAGUCCAAUCCUACAACUUUUCAGAUGCAAAUCUCUUUUCGCUAGUGAGAUGCAUAUCUUUACCCAUGCAACUGAAGAGAGAGAGAGAGGAAACGGAGCAAGAUCUUGCGGCUACUAGGCCGUGUCGCUCAAAAGCUACGCAGGGCCUGCAGAGACAUAUCACCACACACACCCGUUUUCGAGUGGAUCGGAAAAGCACCGACCAUGGUGCGGGAGGUCCUACGGAUCAUCUUGUAAAGACUAAAGACGACGGAGGAAAGAGGAGGCCUCGAGAUCGAUCUCUAUAUAUGGGGAGAAGUACCAAGGAGAAGCUAAGAGCAUGCAUCCAUCCUUCCGAUCCAUGCACUUGUAAAGCCAGAAAAAGCUCAAUAAGCCGAUCCUGAAGCUGAGGAUAUGAUGAAAUUAGCUAAGCCUACUUAUAGUAUCAGUGAUGGCUACUAAACAAAUAUGAGAUUGCAUGCAUGGUGAGCUGCAAUAUAUAGAUCAUGAAACCCUUUUCACCACCUACCUAACAAGCAUAUAUAUAUGCCAUGUAUACACAUCACCUCAUGCAUGCAUUCUAGCAGAGAAACCCUAAUCAACAAAGAUCAUGGGGGUGAUGCAUGGACAUGGAUGGAUUGAUCGAUCACUGCACCGGUGGUCGAUGUCCAUCUAAAUAUGUAAAGUAGAGUAGCUAUCCGGCCGACGAUGCGCACGCUUCGCGGUGAAACAUCGUUUUUUUUUCCUUCUCCUGAGCAAGAAUCCAACAAACAAGUAGUGCCACGCAUCAGAAGAAGAUUUAUAUGAUCGAUCGACUAGCUAGUGCUAGCUAGCAGUAGAUCGAUCGAUCGAUCGAUCGACGCAUGGAGGCUUAUGCAUGAUGGAGGUAGCUAGCUUUGGUGAAGUUGUGCACUACGGAUGAUGAGCGAGUAGGAGUAGGGCGUGCGUGGGUUGUUUGGUCCGUACCGGUGGGCGGGGGGUCGAAGGAUUCGCCGAUUCGGAUGGACGAGCUGGUCGCGUGGCGCGCGCGCGCGAGGGAGACCAUCGAUCGAUGGAUGAUGCAUCAUGCAUGCCGAUCGACGCAGCACGACACG